rnacentral:misc_RNA from 1 species
UCGUAUUCGGCAAAUACAUAUCUACAUUUUCUGGGUUUGGUGAAUGUCAAAAAAUGUAGAAAUGUAUUUGCCGAAUUCGAAACAAACUAUCAUUGCCAUCUCUGAUCUUAUGUGUUUCCACUGAAGUUGCAAAAAUAAUUCAAGAUAUUUGUAUCAAGACCAAAAUUGAACGCAGUUUGUGUAUUAUGACAAAACUGGAGCAGCAGCAAAUUCAGCAAAGUUUUUAAGUGUCUUCUUUGCACGCCAAUAGACAGC